CCUCUGUAGUUCAGUCGGUAGAACGGCGGACUGUUAAUCCGUAUGUCACUGGUUCGAGUCCAGUCAGAGGCG
rnacentral:tRNA from 4 species